GCCAAAAAUCUAACUCGAAAAAUAAAUUUAUUUAAUUUCAUCAUCAUUAUCCUCUAAUCAAAACAUUCUUAAGAUCUAGUAAAGGCGAUUGAAACACCCAUCGAAGUUAUAUUAAUAGUACCGUAAGGGAACAAUGAAAUAAAAAUGAAAUAACUAUUAAGCACAAAAUAGUAGAGUUAUCCCCUCGUACCUUUUGCAUCAUGAUUCAACUAGUUUAAUCGAGCAAAAUGAUUUUAAGUUCGCCGUCCCGAAACUAAAUGAGCUACUUCAGGGCAGCUUAAUGAGCCAACCCGUCUCUGUUGCAAAAGAGUGGGAUGACCCUCAAGUAGAGGUGAUAGACCUAACGAAUUUAGUGAUAGCUGGUUGCUUAAGAAAAGGAUAUUAGUCCCACCUAAAGUUUUUUAAAUAGAUUUAAAUAAAAAUUAAACUUUAGAGCAAUUCAAAUAAGGUACAGCCUAUUUGAAACAGGAUACAACCUACUUAAUUGGGUAAUUAAAUUUUUUUAUAAUAAAGUAGGCCUAAAAGCAGCCAUCUUUGAGAAAGCGUCAAAGCUUAAUUAUUAUUAAACUAAAUUUCACCAACCUUUAAAAACCCUCACUCCGUACUAAGCAACUCUAUAUAACUAUAGAACAUACUAUGUUUAAACUAGUAACAAGAACUUAAACUUCUCUUAAAUGUAAGUGUAAAUCAGAACGGAUACUCCACUGAUCCUUAACACCCACGAAACCAAAGUAACAACUUAUCAAGAAAACUUUACUUUAUAUUAUGUUAACCUAACACAAGCACAUUUCAAGACAGAUUGAAAGAAAAAGAAGGAACUCGGCAAACAUUAACCUCGCCUGUUUACCAAAAACAUCGCCUCAUGAAAAACCUAUAAGAGGUCCAGCCUGCCCAGUGACUCUGUUCAACGGCCGCGGUAUCCUAACCGUGCGAAGGUAGCGUAAUCACUUGUUCUUUAAAUAAGGACUAGUAUGAAUGGCACCACGAAGGUUAUACUGUCUCCUUUUUCCAAUCAGUGAAACUAAUCUUCCCGUGAAGAAGCGGGAAUAAUCUUAUAAGACGAGAAGACCCUAUGGAGCUUUAAAUUAUCAACAAUUAUCUUUUUUUAAUUUUACUAAAACAGAAUCAAUUCUGAUAAUAUGAUUGUUAAUUUUCGGUUGGGGUGACCGCGGAGUAAAAUUUAUCCUCCACGAUGAACAGGACAUGCUCCUAAACAAAGAAUUACAAUUCAAAGCAUCAAAAAAUUGACAUUAUUGACCCAAUACUUUGAUCAACGAACCAAGUUACCCUAGGGAUAACAGCGCAAUCUAUCUUAAGAGUUCAUAUCGACAGAUAGGCUUACGACCUCGAUGUUGGAUCAGGGUAUCCCAGUGGUGCAGCCGCUACUAAAGGUUCGUUUGUUCAACGAUUAAAACCCU
rnacentral:rRNA from 1 species